UUAAUUGUGCACACUGAUAUGAUAAAAGUAAUUUUGUUUUUGUUUUUUUGUUUUUUUAGCCAGUUAGCCAAAAAGCCAACCCUGAAAUAAUUUCAUCCCUUGUUUGAAACCCCCUUGAGCCUAUUCUCCCUUUUUUGUUUAAAACUCAUUACAAGUCGAGAAGUGAAAAACAAUAUUAUCACCCUAUUCAAAGGGUUGAAAGAGU
rnacentral:lncRNA from 1 species